AACUGGAGAGUUUGAUCCUGGCUCAGAAUGAACGCUGGCGGCGUGCCUAACACAUGCAAGUCGAGCGGUAAGGCCCCUUCGGGGGUACACGAGCGGCGAACGGGUGAGUAACGCGUGGGUAACCUGCCCAGAAGUGGGGGAUAGCCCCGGGAAACCGGGGGUAAUACCGCAUGUGCUCCUGCCGACGCAAGUCGGCUCUUGGAAAGGCGGGGAUCCUUCGGGACCUGUCGCUUCUGGAUGGGCCCGCGUCCGAUUAGCUAGUUGGUAGGGUAACGGCCUACCAAGGCGACGAUCGGUAGCCGGCCUGAGAGGGUGAACGGCCACACUGGGACUGAGACACGGCCCAGACUCCUACGGGAGGCAGCAG
rnacentral:rRNA from 1 species